UACAGAGGAUGCAAGCGUUAUCCGGAAUGAUUGGGCGUAAAGCGUCUGUAGGUGGCUUUUUAAGUCCGCCGUCAAAUCCCAGGGCUCAACUCUGGACAGGCGGUGGAAACUACCAAGCCGGAGUACGGUAGGGGCAGAGGGAAUUUCCGGUGGAGCGGUGAAAUGCGUAGAGAUCGGAAAGAACACCAACGGCGAAAGCACUCUGCUGGGCCGACACUGACACUGAGGCACGAAAGCUAGGGGAGCAAACAGG
rnacentral:rRNA from 1 species